rnacentral:rRNA from 1 species
ACGCUGGCGGCGUGCCUAACACAUGCAAGUCAACUUGACUGAAGGAGCAAUCUGACAGUAGAGUGGCGCAAGGGUGCGUAACGCGUAAGUAACUUGCCCAAGGUAAGGAAUAACGUCGAGAAAUCGGCGCUAAUACCUCAUAAUGCAGCGGAUCCGCAUGGAUAUGUUGUUAAAGGUUUACCGCCUUGGGAUAGGCUUGCGUCUGAUUAGCUAGUUGGUGUGGUAACGGCACACCAAGGCUACGAUCAGUAACUGGUCUGAGAGGAUGAUCAGUCACACUGGAACUGAGACACGGUCCAGACUCCUACGGGAGGCAGCAGUGAGGAAUAUUGGGCAAUGCUCGAAAGAGUGACCCAGCAACGCCGCGUGGAGGAUGAGGGUAUUCUAUAUCGUAAACUCCUGUGAGAGCAGACGAAAGACAGAUUAUUAAUCUGGAUGACUGUAUGCUCAGAGGAAGCCCCGGCUAACUACGUG